rnacentral:rRNA from 1 species
AGCGAACGCUGGCGGCGUGCCUAAUACAUGCAAGUCGAACGGGGAAAGCUUUCGGGUGAGUACUAGUGGCGCACGGGUGAGUAACGCGUGGAUAAUCUGCCUUAGAGUGGGGGAUAACUAGUCGAAAGAUUAGCUAAUACCGCAUAAGACCACAAGAACUGCGGUUCAAGAGGUCAAAGGUUUUUCGCUCUAAGAUGAGUCCGCGUAAGAUUAGCUAGUUGGUGAGGUAACGGCUCACCAAGGCAACGAUCUUUAACUGGUCUGAGAGGAUGAUCAGUCACACUGGAACUGAGACACGGUCCAGACUCCUACGGGAGGCAGCAGUAGGGAAUAUUGCACAAUGGAGGAAACUCUGAUGCAGCGACGCCGCGUGAGUGAUGAAGGCCUUCGGGUCGUAAAGCUCUGUCGCAGGGGAAUAACACAAUGAAUGUACCCUGUAAGAAAGGAUCGGCUAACUUCGUGCCAGCAGCCGCGGUAAGAC